UGCAUCUUCUCUCCAUCUCAUUCGAUAAAUUUGGAUCAAUCGGAGAAGAUUAGCAUGGCCCUGCGAGGAUGGGACACACACAUCGAGAAAUGGUACAAUUUUUU